AAUCUCAUAGCUUAACUAUGAAACUGCCAUUGAUACUGUUAGUCUUGAGUGAUGUGAAGUUGCUGGAAUGUGUAGUGUAGCGGUGAAAUGCUUAGAUAUUACGCAGAACACCAAUUGCGAAGGCAGGUGACUAAACAUCAACUGACGCUGAUGGACGAAAGCGCGGGGAGCGAACAGGAUUAGAUACCCUGGUAGUCCACGCCGUAAACGAUGGAUACUUGCUGUUGGAUUUUCGGAUUCAGUGGCUAAGCGAAAGUUAUAAGUAUCCCACCUGGGGAGUACGUUCGCAAGAAUGAAACUCAAAGGAAUUGACGGGGGCCCGCACAAGCGGUGGAGCAUGUGGUUUAAUUCGAUGAUACGCGAGGAACCUUACCAAGGCUUAAAUGCAAUUUGACAGAACUAGAAAUAGUUUUUUCUUCGGACAGAAUGCAAGGUGCUGCAUGGCUGUCGUCAGCUCGUGCCGUGAGGUGUUAGGUUAAGUCCUGCAACGAGCGCAACCCCUAUCAUUAGUUGCCAGCGUUUAAAGACGGGGACUCUAAUGAGACUGCCGGUGCAAACCGCGAGGAAGGUGGGGACGACGUCAAGUCAUCACGGCCCUUACGUCUUGGGCUACACACGUGCUACAAUGGUAAGUACAGAGGGCAGCUACUUGGCAACAAGAUGCGAAUCUCAAAAACUUAUCUCAGUUCGGAUUGGAGUCUGCAACUCGACUCUAUGAAGCUGGAAUCGCUAGUAAUCGCAUAUCAGCCAUGAUGCGGUGAAUACGUUCCCGGGCCUUGUACACACCGCCCGUCAAGCCAUGGAAGCUGGGGGUACCUGAAGUCGGUGACCGUAAUAGGAGCUGCCUAGGGUAAAACUGGUAACUAGGGCUAAGUCGUAACAAGGUAGCCGAAUCACUAGUGCGGCCGCCUGCAGGUCGACCAUAUGGGAGAGCUCCCAACGCGUUGGAUGCAUAGCUUGAGUAUUCUAU
rnacentral:rRNA from 1 species